GAAUUUUAGUGAAAAACUCCCCAAUUGGAGAAAAACCACCAGACCCAGAGAAGAAAAUCUACUAUAUUAAAAAUUGUUACAAUCACAUAAUUUUUCUCCUCACCCCAAGGACACCCACAAACCUUCCUCACUAGCAAAACUUUGACUCUCACCUCUUACCUUUCUUACAAAAAGACAACAUAU